GCCCAAGUGGCGAAAUGGUAUACGCACCGUCUUCAGGUGGCGGCGCCGCAAGGUUUGCUGGUUCGACUCCAGUCUUGGGCACAA
rnacentral:tRNA from 2 species